UACCCUCUCUAGAUUAAACAGCUUGUGUACUGCCGUCGUAAGCACACCUCUAAAAGUAAAGUAUGCAACUAUGACAAACUCAUAUACGUCAGGUCAAAGUGCAGCUUAUGAGAGGGCGACGAUGGGUUACACCCUAAAUAAAGAUACGAAAUAUAACACCAAAAGAUAUAUGAAGGUGGACUUGGACGUAAUAAAGAUACAAAGCCAAAAUGAAGACGAAUCUAAGACAUGCACACAUCGCCCGUCACUCUUGCCCAAAGGUGAGAUAAGUCGUAACAAAGUAGGUGUAACGGAAGUUGCACCUGU
rnacentral:rRNA from 1 species